rnacentral:rRNA from 1 species
UUUGUUACUUCAAACCAAUCGGACUUCGGUCUGACAUCAAGUGAUAUUGAACAAUUUAGCUGAUCGCACGGUCUAAGAACCGGCGACAUAUCCUUCAAAUGUCUGCCUUAUCAACUUUCGAUGGUAGAUUAUGCGCCUACCAUGGUUGUAACGGGUAACGGAGAAUCAGGGUUUGAUUCCGGAGAGGGAGCCUGAGAAACGGCUACCACAUCCAAGGAAGGCAGCAGGCACGCAAAUUACCCACUCCCGGCACGGGGAGGUAGUGACGAAAAAUAACAAGCUGGUCUCAAUGAGUUCCAGCAUUGUAAUGGGAACAAUUUAAAUCUUUUAUCGAGGAUCUAUUGGAGGGCAAGUCUGGUGCCAGCAGCCGCGGUAAUUCCAGCUCCAAUAGCGUAUAUUAAAGUUGUUGCGGUUAAAAAGCUCGUAGUUGGAUCUAGGAUUAGGGCUACGGUCGUUCAGCUUGGACGUACUGUAUGCCCGACUCCUUUUCUCUAGUAUUCGAUUGUUGCUCUUAAAUGAGUGACUUUAGUUGCUGGAACUUUUACCUUGAAAAAAUUGAAGUGCUCAAAGCGGGUU